AUUGAACGCUGCGGCAGGCUUAAUACAUGCAAGUCGAGCGAGCGGCGGACGGGUGAGUAAUGCUUAGGAAUCUGCCUAUUAUUGGGGGACAACAUCUCUAAAGGGAAGCUAAUACCGCAUAAUCAUUGAUUAGCCUAAGUCGGAUUAGCUAGUUGGUGGGGUAAAGGCCUACCAAGGCGACGAUCUAUAGCGGGUCUGAGAGGAUGAUCAGCAACACUGGGACUGAGACACGGCCCAGACUCCUACGGGAGGCAGCAGGAGGGAAUAUUGGGCAAUGGGGGGAACCCUGAUCCAGCCACGCCGCGUGUGUGAAGAAGGUCUUAGGGUUGUAAAGCACUUUAGGCGAGUAGGCGGUACUCGCAGAAAAAGCAACGGCUAACUCUGUGCCAGCAGCCGCGGUAAUAC
rnacentral:rRNA from 1 species